rnacentral:rRNA from 1 species
AACUCUAAGCGGUGGAUCACUCGGCUCAUGGGUCGAUGAAGAACGCAGCAAACUGUGCGUCAUCGUGUGAACUGCAGGACACAUGAACAUCGACAUUUUGAACGCAUAUCGCAGAAGUCA